AUACUUCCCUGGCAGGGCAGAUACCAUGAUCACGAAGGUGAUUUUCCCAGGGCGCAGCUUAUCCGUUGCUCUCUUGGGUUGUGCUGACCCCUGUGAUUUCCCCAAAUGUGGGAAACUCGACUACAUAAUUUGUGGUAGUAGGGGACUGCGUUUGUGCUUUCUCCUG